rnacentral:rRNA from 1 species
UACGAAGGGGGCUAGCGUUGUUCGGAUUAACUGGGCGUAAAGCGCGCGUAGGCGGGUUUUUAAGUCAGGGGUGAAAUCCCAAGGCUCAACCUUGGAACUGCCUUUGAUACUGGAAAUCUUGAGUCCGGGGAGAGGUGAGUGGAACUGCGAGUGUAGAGGUGAAAUUCGUAGAUAUUCGCAAGAACACCAGUGGCGAAGGCGGCUCACUGGCCCGGUACUGACGCUGAGGUGCGAAAGCGUGGGGAGCAAACAGG